rnacentral:rRNA from 1 species
UACGUAGGGUGCAAGCGUUGUCCGGAAUUAUUGGGCGUAAAGAGCUCGUAGGCGGUUUGUCGCGUCUGCUGUGAAAACUCGGGGCUUAACCCCGGGCCUGCAGUGGGUACGGGCAGACUAGAGUGCGGUAGGGGAGACUGGAAUUCCUGGUGUAGCGGUGAAAUGCGCAGAUAUCAGGAAGAACACCCGUGGCGAAGGCGGCUCUCUGGGACGGUACUGACGCUGAGACGCGAAAGCGUGGGGAGCGAACAGG